AACGCACAUUGCGCCCCUUGGUAUUCCGAGGGGCAUGCCUGUUCGAGCGUCAUUUCACCAAUCAAGCCUGGCUUGGUGUUGGGCGCCCGGCCCGCCCCCCGCGGCGGGCCCGCCCGAAAUGCAUCGGCGAGGAAACCGACCCCCGGCGUGUUAAGAAUCUCACAAUUCGAACGUCAGGAGCACCGGUGGCCUCCGCCGCGACCUAUCAUCAAAGGUUGACCUCGGAUCAGGUAGGGAUACCCGCUGAACUUAA
rnacentral:misc_RNA from 1 species